rnacentral:tRNA from 1 species
GCGGAUGUAGCCAAGUGAUCAAGCAGUGAUUGUGAAUCCACCAUGCGCGGGUUCAAUUCCCGUCGUUCGCC